CGUUGAAACACCGAUUUCCAUAAAAUCGUCGAAGUUAAGCAACUUCGAGUCUGGUCAGUAUCUAGAUGGGCGAUCGCUUGGGAAUACCAGGUGAUGU